UACAGAGGGUGCAAGCGUUAAUCGGAAUUACUGGGCGUAAAGCGUGCGUAGUCGGUUAUCUAAGUCGGGUGUGAAAUCCCCGGGCUCAACCUGGGAAUUGCAUUCGAUACUGGAUAGCUAGAGUUCGGCAGAGGGAAGCGGAAUUUCUGGUGUAGCGGUGAAAUGCGUAGAUAUCAGGAGGAACACCGAUGGCGAAGGCAGGUCUCUGGGCAUUAACUGACGCUGAGGAGCGAAAGCAUGGGGAGCGAACAGG
rnacentral:rRNA from 1 species